rnacentral:lncRNA from 1 species
CCCAACCUGACUGCUGUGUUCUGCCCUGAGUCUGCAGAGGCUGACCCUGGCCAGGAAAGUGGUUGGAAAAGCAUUUUUGCAGAGAGGCAGCCUGAAGGUGGUGGCUCUAUGUAAGUGUGCACCCUUGGUUGGAAAGGCUGAAGGUCAGGAAUGGUAUUAGGAGAAAGUUCCCCCUUUCUCCUUUGUCCCUCCUUCCUGCCCCUGGACACAGGCUUGAGGAUCUGCAUCUGGCUGGCUCACCCUUCCUGCACAACUUUUCUAUUCAAGUUUUUCAGGGCAGGGCUUUAAGAAACACUUCAGGUUAAUUAUAGCCAGGGGUCAUUUUCUAUACAAGCGGGACAAACUUGAUGUGACUACAGGGCUGUCUCCAGGGCUGAUUCAUUCGACCUAGAAAACUGCCCCUAGGGAAACAGCCUCAGAAUCUUGCCUGCAGCUCUGGAAGUGGUAAUGGGCCCACCUGUCUCCCUGCCCAUCAUCUCACAUCUGGGGGAAUGUCUUGGCUAGCAGCAUGGCCCUGAGUGAGGGGUUUAGGUAAACAAGGUGUGACUGGGAUUGGAAGAGUCACAAACCUGUUUGUUAGAGCAAUGCUGAAGAGUUUCAGGAAAAGAAUUUCAUCAAGGCUGGCACAUCUGUCCUCAGACACUUGAAGGAUUCCCUGGAGGAAGGAGGACUGAACUUGCCCUACAAGAUCCUGCGGGGCAAAGAACUGUAAGCAGAGACAAAAUGAAAGCCCUCUAGGCCCACAAUUGAUUCUAACGGCUGUGAGGGAAUGAGCUUCAACUACUGUUGAUGGGAGGGACUGUGUGCCAGGCACUGUGCUAGGGACUCUCAUGCAUGAUCUCAUUCAUCUUCUGCAUAACCCAAUGAGGUAUGAUCUACUAUCAAGUGUCUACAUUUGUAUUGGAUUGGUAUGUGUGCCCAACAAAGAAAGUGUCAUUUUUCCUUGGGAAUGAAAUCACAUCAUUUGUGAAGACUUAGUAGAGGCUAAAUGAGUACAAGCAGCAUUUACCUUAUUAAACAGAUAUUUUCAACAUUUAAAACAGUCUGACCAUCAAUGAUGAUGUUCAAAAACAUCUCAAGAUGUUUUAGAGCUAAAGCAAAUGAGAAAAUAUAGUAAAGGGCUGAUUCCUGUGGAUAUUCUGCAAAGGAAAGUAACAUGGUGGAGUGGAAGUGGGAUAAGGUUUGAAGCCAAAAGACCUGGUGGGCUUAAGGUCUCCAUUUAUUGGUUGUGUGACCUUGGAUAAGCCACUUCACCUCCUGGUGAGACUUGGGCAAAAUGGAGAUCAUAUUAAUCACCUCACAGUUUGUUACGCAUUGAGUAAAUGCACAUGUAAGCAUUAUUGACUGUAAAUGAUUAUGCAUAUUUUAAUUAUGGUAUAUCCAAGCCUGAUUUUUCAUCCAGUGCUUACAGUGCCCUGGGCAUAAUACUCAUUCAAUAAACAUUUGUUUGAUGAUAGAGUAAUAAAUGAAUAUGUGAUGCAGAAGUUUUAAAAAUAUUUUUGCUGCUGUCUGACUCAUUUAUAGACAUUUAUAAAAUUGAGGAUUUGUAAGUUGUCCCUGGACAAUCAGAUCUCUUGAUUCAAAGGUGAAAGAUAAUCAUUCAGGUUUUCAAGUUUUUCCUGAUAUGAGACAUUAACUGGCAGGGCUGAUUAUGAGAAAUUGUCAUUAUCCUGCUCAAAUAUAAGAUCAUAGAUUUGGGAAACCUUAGAAAUAAUUACCUUCUUUUCAAAUAUGAGGAAACUGAAGCCCAGAGGCUCUAAGAAAUCAGGGACUUUAUAUAAUUUUUUCAUUUCUCUAGCUCUAGGGUAAUUGUAGAUAGAUAUACAACAAGUAUGUUUUUAAAAGUAUAUUUUUCAAGAAUUAUGCUAAGCACUGGGGAAAUAAACAUUAACAAGACAAAACCCUCCCCUUUGAGGAACUGAUAAUCUAGACAGACAUGAAAACCAGGAAGUGUGCUAUCAGUUAUAUUAAUGUUGUACAGAGUUCUAGUGGCAAGAGGGAACUGCCAAGGGAAAUCUGAGAGGAGGUGUUUACCCUGCGUAAACACCUUGCUGUUUAGCUUGGCAUCCCUAGAAGCAGACCCUGAGGACAGUGGGAAAAUGGAUUAUUAAGGAAGUGCUCCUGAGAGAAACCAGAAAGGGGGUGUAGGGAGCAAGGGAGGAUAAGGAGAAGACUCCAGUAAGGAUGAGAUUACUCAAGUCCCAUGGAAGACAGGUUAGCCUGAUCCUGCAGGGGAGCCCUGGAGGACUUAACAUCUCUGGAAAGCCAGAAAUCAGAGAUACAGAGAAGUAUUGAAAUGCUGAAAUGCUAUGAAUUUACUAUAAGAGAACAUUCUUCACUGAAGAGAUCUCUAGCUGCCAAAACACCCUUUCAUGCGUGAAAUACCGGGGCAAAGAGGAAGGAAAAGAGAAGAGUAUGACUCUAGGAACCAUGUUGCAGAAAUGCCAAAGGGUGGGACAAACAAGAGUUACUAAUGUGGAGAAAGAAGAUUAUCAUGUGUGGAACGAAGGACAAUAUGAACAUUAAAUAAUGCCCUGACUCAUUCCAAAAAGAAUCUGAGAUGACCAAUAAAGCCAUUUUUAAUUGUUUAUUAGUGAACAAUAGAUUAUGAGUGCUAAAGGGAUUCAGGAAGAAGAAAGAUCAGUGCAGAGUAGAGAAGUCUGAUGGAUGCAUUGAAGAAGCUAUGCUUGAGCUGAAAUGACAAGAGAGCUGUUUUUCGCUUUCAGAAUUAUUAUGUGGCAAUGGUAAUUGACAACAGAGAAGCUGAAGGUAUGAGGACAAGGGUGUCUUAUCUUUCCCCAGAAGUCUUGCUUGGCCCAUGGGAGAAUACAGGCCUGCACCUUGGACUUGGAGUCAGUAGAUUCCUUCCUGUGAUUUUUUACAAGCUCAAACAUCCCCUGACUGAGUCAUUCACCAGAGAAAGAGGCUUUUCAAAUGAUUUGUGCAUUAGCUAUAGUCUGCCUUAUUCAACCCCAUUUUAGUGUCACAAAAGCUUCUUCUUCCUACAUUGUUAGAGCCUUUUUGACUUUUCUGAAACGACAUCUGCUCACCUCUUGGGUAACACCCUGCAGGGCUCAGUCGAGCUCAGUCACCCUUCACUUUUUUUUUUUUUUUUUUGAGCCAGUUUUGUAAGGUGCUGAGGGAGGUUUGUAUUAGUCCUUGUUGCCCCUAGAAGAAAUAACAGCUAUAAUUUUGGCCCCGAAGAAAAGGAACAGAUAGAAGAAGAAGGCAGAGGAGUCAGUGUUGGAGUGAUGCCAUGUGAGAAAGACUCAACUGGCCAUUGCUGGCUUUGAAAAUGGAAGGAGGCAUAAGCCAAGGAAUGAAUGCAGGUGCCUCUAGAACCUGGAAAAAGCAAGGAAACAAAUUCUCCUCUAGAACCUCCAGAAGGAAUGCAUUCCUGCCAACACCUUGAUUUUUAGCUCGGUGAGACCCAUGCUGGACUUCUGACCUGCAGGAUUGCAAGAUAAGAUAUUUGACUUAUUUUAAGAUGCUAAGUUUGCAGUAAUUUGAUAUGGUAGCCAUCGGAAACUAAUACCGAUGCCAAAGCAGUAAAGCAGGAAAGCACUCCAAAAUCACAGGAGUGAGAGGAGCAGAAAUGUCCUAGGAGAAGACAAUGUUUCCUUUUGAAAAGGAAAGUUUACUGGCAACUUCCAUUUGAAUUUCUUAAUUUCUUUCCUCAGUGGCAGUCACUACUUCCAAGGUGGCAGGUUCCAGAGCUGAUUCAUUAUAUAAUCUUUUCUCAGGAGUAUUCUAGCCACCUUUAAAGAAGCUAGGGCCAUUUUCCUGACACUGCAUCAAGGGGUAAGGUUAGUGGUAAAGAAACCAUGCGGUAGGAAAGGCCAACUUUCUCCCUACAUAAUCCAAUCGCAUUAUCUCCAGACUUGCUCACCCUCUGCUCUUUGCAUACUGCAGCUCCAGAGCUUUCAUACCUACAGACUUCCUGGAGUUAAGACUAAAACAAGAGUUGUGCUACAGACUACCGUUCCUAUUAUCAUUUUUUGUGUCCUGCUGAGUCCUCCCCUCUUGGCAACUUCAGGACCACCCACUGGGAAGAUAAUAUACAACCCAUCAGGAAACUCCCAGUGCCCAUCGUGGAGGCCAAGUGCUGCCAACUCUGAUUGCUUCUGGAAUGCCAUUUCUUCCCUGCCCUUUCAAUAUUCUUGUUAUGCGACUCCUAUGAUCACUGCCAAUCUGUAGAAAAUUACAGGAUGAAUUUUUGUGAAGGACUGAAUUUGCAUACUGGUCUUUUGUUGUUUAUUGUUGGGGGGAUUUUGCUUUUUGCACACAAUUUCUGCACAUUUUAUUGGAAGUUAUUGGGUUAGAUUCAUCCCAUUCAUUCACUAGCCUGGCAUUGCUAUGCAUGUGCUGUAGGGGCUUAGCAUUAAACGAUUUUCUUUGUUCAGAUUUGGAUUGCUGUCUCUGCUUGCAAAUUAUUUUUCACAAUGACUCCUUCUUUUCCUUCUCUCUCUCUCUCUUUCUCUCUCUCUCUCUCUCACACACACACACAGACACACACACACACACACACACACACACACACACACACACACAGAUGAGGUUAGAUAUUUUUCCAUUGCCAAGUUCAGGACCCAUGAAUAC